CACCGCUAUUGUGGCAUGUAUCAGAAAUGGACAAGAAGCUGAAUACACAGAUCUAAUAAGAGCCUUCAGUGACUGGAGUCACAAAAACUGCCUCCUCCUCAACACCUCAAAGACAAAGGAGAUGGUCAUAGACUUCCAUAGAUCCAAACCCCCUCUUCAGCCAGUGAACACCUGUGGAGUGGACAUCGAAGUGGUGACAUCAUAUAAAUACCUAGGUGUACAUCUGGAUAAUAAGUUGGACUGGUCUAAGAAUAUAGACUACACCUACAGAAAGGGGCAGAACCGCC